rnacentral:rRNA from 1 species
CCUACGGGUGGCAGCAGUAGGGAAUAUUCCGCAAUGAGCGAAAGCCUGAUGGAGCGACGCCGCGUGAGCGAUGAAGGUCUUCGGAUCGUAAACCUCUGUUAUCAGGGAAGAACAUUUACUCUACUAAUUGAUCUCGUCUUGACGGUACCUUCUCAUAAAGCACCGGCUAACUUUGUGCCAGCAGCCGCGUUAAUACGUAGGUCGCAAGCGUUAUCCGGAAUUAUUGGGGGUAAAGCGGUCGUAGGCUGUUUUUGUAGUCUGGGGGUAAAUCCCAGGGCUCAACCGCGGGAUGGUCUUUGAAACUAGCAAACUAGAGUGAGAUAGAGGAAAGUGGAAUUCCAUGUGAAGCGGUGAAAUGCGUAGAGAUAUGGAAGAACACCAGAGGCGAAGGCGACUUUCUGGGUCGAAACUGACGCUGAGGUGCGAAAGCGUGGGGAGCAAACAGGAUUAGAUACCCCAGUAGUC